CUCCCGAGUAGCUGGGACUACAGGCGAGCACCACCACGCCCAGCUAAUUUUUGUACUUUUAGUAGAGACAGGGUUUCACCACGUUGGCCAGAUGGUCUCGAUCUCUUGACCUCAUGAUCCGCCCGCCUUGGCCUCCCAAAGUGCUGGGAUUACAGGCGUGAGCCACUGCGCCCCACCCUGUUCUUAUUGUUUUAAUAACUAUAGGUUCUUUACAUUUCCAUAUCUGUGUGUCCUCUCUUGACAGAAGGGGCAAAAGGGCUUCCUCAAACUUUUUUUUUUUUUUUUUUUUUUUUUUUUUUGAGACAGAGUCUCACUCUUGUUGCCCAGGCUGGAGUGCAAUGGUGCAAACUCAGCUCACUGCAGCCUCUGCCUCCCGGCUUCAAGCCAUACUUCUGCCUCAGCCUCCCGAGUAGCUGGGAUUACAGGCACCUGCCACCACGCUCAGCUAAUUUUUUUGUAUUUUUAGUAGAGAUGGGGUUUCACCAUGUUGGCCAGGCUGGCCUCGAACUUCUGACCUCAAGUGAUCCACCCACGGGAUGAGCUCUUUGCUUCUCUGUCUGAAAUGUUGGAUAUCAGUGCCAAAGAGAGUCUUGCUUUUUAAACUGUGAAAUUGUUUUUCACAGGCUCUUUACUAGUGUAUGGGCUGGAAGCUAUGCCUUUUUUUCCGCAAAAGGUUAAAACUGUAAGAAGAGUUUCUCAGCAUAUAUGACUCAUGUUCUUUCUAGAGUAAGAUCGUUGGGAGACAUUUAGUUUUGAAUAAAUAUAUCUCUAGUGAAGUGUGCAGAGACUUGACAUGUGCUAUUUGCAGUUUUCAGCCUCUUAUAAUUUUGUGAAAAGUGCAGUGUUGAUUGAAAGUUUCUAUUUUUGAUCAUGGUGUUAAGAUCAUUGUUUGUUUUACUUCUUGCCUCAAUAAAAUAUGAGGUAAAAAAAAACUUCAUUUUUGUGAAUUUUUAUAUGUGUUAAAAUUGUAGUAUUUUAAAUUUUCAAAAGAUGCCUUUCUAUAAUAUGGUUUAAUUGUUUAAGUUUUAGCUCACAGUCUAUUUUUAUAACCACUGAGUUUUACAUUUUAUUAUUUAUGCUGUGAUUUGGCAUUCUGUAAAGUUUCUGAUAUGUGCUGGCUACUCUAACAGUUAGGGUCUUUGGAGGUCUGUAUUUCCAACUUUAUAUAAUUGAUCUUUUCUUUGUUUUUACUGUAGCUUCCAGGUCAAGAUUGAAUGUGUUUACCAAAAGGUACUUAUGUAGGAGUUGUGAUUCUUACGUAUUGGUUGCUGAAAACUAAAGGGGCUUUUGAAGGCAGGAUGACAAGCAAAGCAUUAUUUGUAAUAGAGCAUCACUGUUGGAUAUGGUAAAGUAAAAUUUUAGGUGAAAACCAGUGACACAAAGGGAUUCCCUGAUGACUCACCCAUUUUUUUUGAGUCCACUCCUUCAUUUUCUCUGAUCUCCUUCUCUCCUGCUUCAUCAUUACUCUCUGCUGAUAUACAGAGUGUUUGAAUGUAUCCACCACCGUAUCUUCUUUUUCUCUCUUCCUUCUUUGCCCUGCCAAAUGUGAAUGUACUGCAAGGCCCUAUCCUUUCCUUCCUCAAUGCUGAUUCUGGUGUGAUGGAGCAUCUGGAAGCUUAGCUUCAGUCAGUUUGUGAGCCUUUCCUGAACAGGGCAGAAGGAACAAUAGAAGCUUCAUCUACAGUAAGUAGCAUAUGGGGACCCAAACCAGUCUUGCUCCUGUAAACCAGGUGUUGACAGAGGGGAGGUAGAGUUACUUCUGGUUACUCGUAUUCAGACCAUCCUGUAUCCUUCCAGCAAAGCCUAUCAGAUCUGUCCAAUUUGUGUGAACUAGAGUCUUUCUGGAAUCCCGUCCCUUUGGAUGGAACUUGUCUAUUUUGCCCAGGUCCUGCUAGUUCUGGAGAGGCUGAGUUCUGUCCUUCAUCUCCUGAUCCCGUGGCAGGUGAUCUGUCCUGAUAUGGCUAGCCUGUGACUGGAAAUUCCUGCUGCUGUGCCUGACUUUCUAGAUUAAACUUCCUAGUUAUCAGCUCUGGCCU
rnacentral:lncRNA from 1 species